GGCAUCAAGGUAGUGCUGAAGGAGUUCGGUCUGGCUCAGAUUGAACGCUGGCGGAUGCUUUACACAUGCAAGUCGAACGGCAGCACGGACUUCGGUCUGGUGGCGAGUGGCGAACGGGUGAGUAAUGUGUAUCGGAACGUGCCUAGUAGCGGGGGAUAACUACGCGAAAGCGUAGCUAAUACCGCAUACGCCCUUCGGGGGAAAAGCAGGGGGACCGCCGGGCCUCGCAUAUUGAGCGGCCGAUAUCAGUUAGCUGGUUAAUUUGGAGGUAACGGCUCACCAAGGCGACGAUCCAGCGACUGGACUACAGAGAGGACGACCAGCCACCUGGGACUGAGACACGGCCCAGACUCCUACGGGAGGCAGCAGUGGGGGAAUUUUGGACAAUGGAAACCUGAUCAGCCAUCCCGCGUGUGCGAUGAAGGCCUUCGGGUUGUAAAGCACUUUUUGGCAGGAAAGAAACGGCACGGGAUAAUACCGUGCAACUGACGAAGUACCAGAACACCGGCUAACCGCUGUUUAUUUCAGCCGCGGUAAACAGUGCAAGCGUUAAUCGGAAUUACUGGGCGUAAAGCGUGCGCAGGCGGUUCGGAAAAGAUGUGAAAUCCAGAGCUUAACUUUGGAACUGCAUUUUUAACUACCGAGCUAGAGUGUGUCAGAGGGAGGUGGAAUUCCGCGUGUAGCAGUGAAAUGCGUAGAUAUGCGGAGGAACACCGAUGGCGAAGGCAGCCUCCUGGGAUAACGACGCUCAUGCACGAAAGCGUGGGAGCAAACAGUUAGAUGCCCUGGUAGUCCACGCCCUAAACGAUGUCAACUAGCUGUUGGGGCCUUCGGGCCUUGGUAGCGCAGCUAACGAAGUUGACCGCCUGGGGAGUACGGUCGCAAGAUUAAAACUCAAGGAAUUGACGGGGACCCGCACAAGCGGUGGAUGAUGUGGAUUAAUUCGAUGCAACGAAAAACCUUACCUACCCUUGACAUGUCUGGAAUCCCGAAGAGAUUUGGGGAGUGCUCGCAAGAGAACCGGAACACAGGUGCUGCAUGGCUGUCGUCAGCUCGUGUCGUGAGAUGUUGGGUUAAGUCCGCAACGAGCGCAACCCUUGUCAUUAGUUGCUACGAAAGGGCACUCUAAUGAGACUGCCGGUGACAAACCGGAAGGUGGGGAUGACGUCAAGUCCUGUUCUGGCCCUUAUGGGUAGGGCUUCACACGUCAUACAAUGGUCGGGACAGAGGGUCGCCAACCCGCGAGGAGCCAAUCCCAGAAACCCGAUCGUAGUCCGGAUCGCAGUCUGCAACUCGACUGCGUGAAGUCGGAAUCAUGGUAAUCGCGGAUCGGCAUGUCGCGGUGAAUACGUUCCCGGGUCUUGUACACUACCGCCCGUCACACCAUGGGAGUGGGUUUUACCAGAAGUAGUUAGCCUAACCGUAAGGAGGGCGAUUACCACGGUAGGAUUCAUGACUGGGGCAAGUCGUAACAAGGUAU
rnacentral:rRNA from 1 species